rnacentral:rRNA from 1 species
AACGAACGCUGGCGGCAUGCCUAACACAUGCAAGUCGAACGAGACCUUCGGGUCUAGUGGCGCACGGGUGCGUAACGCGUGGGAACCUGCCCUUAGGUUCGGAAUAACUCCCCAAAGGGGUGCUAAUACCGGAUAAUGUCUUCGGACCAAAGAUUUAUCGCCUUUGGAUGGGCCCGCGUUGGAUUAGCUAGUUGGUAGGGUAAAAGCCUACCAAGGCGACGAUCCAUAGCUGGUCUGAGAGGAUGAUCAGCCACACUGGGACUGAGACACGGCCCAGACUCCUACGGGAGGCAGCAGUGGGGAAUAUUGGACAAUGGGCGAAAGCCUGAUCCAGCAAUGCCGCGUGAGUGAUGAAGGCCUUAGGGUUGUAAAGCUCUUUUACCCGGGAUGAUAAUGACAGUACCGGGAGAAUAAGCUCCGGCUAACUCCGUG